GCCACGGUAGCUCAGUUGGUAGAGCAGGGGACUGAAAAUCCCCGUGUCGGCAGUUCAACUCUGUCCCGUGGCACCA
rnacentral:tRNA from 1 species